GAAGCUGUUAAGGAGCCUUUUGGUCCUAGACUUGACGCUCUGGUACCGCUUGCCGUGCGGUAGCAGAGAAAACAGUCUAUGACUUGGGAGAGACAGAGGGGCGUAGAGAGACAGAGGGGCGCUGUUUCGCUCGCUCGGAUGCUUUCUCCUGUGAGAUACAUUCAGUCUCUUGGGAAUUUAAGGAAAGUAUGAAACACAGAGAGACGAGAGAUAAGUUAUAUAUUUAUUAUUAUUUGUAAAAAAAAAAAAUGCGGAAGCCUGGCUUCCCUUGGCAUCCAUGAAUACACCCCACUGGUUUUUAGAGAAGAUUGCAUUGCAAGAUUCACACGAUAGAGAACACAGCAAUUUUGACGGACUGGGUCGAGGAAACGAAACGCAAACCAAGCAAGAUAAAUGUUGCCUUAUCGGCUCGCUUGUCAGGACUGUGGUGUGAAGUUUGACACCAUCCGCCGCUUCAAGCAGCAUGUCCGCAGGAAGCAACAUCAACAGCAAGUGGCAGAGCUCUUCCAGACAGAUGAGUACCACGGUCAAGUCUACUUUGCCCCUUUCUUGGUUCUGGAGCAUCUGGCCAGGAAACCCACAAACACCCCAUAUCCCAUCAUCGGUCUGUGCCUGGUGACAUUGUGUGUGAGUCCAGAGGGGAGGGAUACUUUCUACCUUUGUCACAGUUGUGAGGAGAAGUGUGGCCCAGGACAGAUCAUAGACCACCUCCUCUCUGCUGACCACCUCUCCAACUACUAUAGCUACACAGACCCUGAUGUGUUGAGUUUCUCCUGGAUGCCUAACAUGGAUAUGUUGAACCUCCUACGGCCGCUAGCUGUCAAAGAGAUGGACAAGAAUGGACCUGGAGUGCUACGGGUAACUGUACUGGUUUUCUCAUUGUGAUGGGUGUGUGUGCUGUGUCGGGCCUACUCAC
rnacentral:lncRNA from 1 species